UACGGGGGGUGCGAGCGUUGUCCGGAAUCACUGGGCGUAAAGGGCGCGUAGGUGGCUUUGUAAGUUUGCGGUGAAAGCCCGGGGCUCAACCCCGGGUCUGCCGUGGAUACUGCAAGGCUUGAGUACUGUAGAGGCAGGUAGAAUAUCGGGUGUAGCGGUGGAAUGCGUAGAGAUCCGAUAGAAGACCGGUGGCGAAGGCGGCCUGCUGGGCAGUAACUGACACUGAGGCGCGACAGCGUGGGGAGCGAACAGG
rnacentral:rRNA from 1 species